CCUGCAAUCACGACCUGAGCUGAAAUCAAGAGUCUGACACUUAACCAACUGAGCCACCCAGGACAAGCUGGAGGUGGAAGUGUAACCUGAGUUUGGCCAACCAAAUGCUCCUCGGAGCCCAAGAACGCAUGGCAAGGACAGAGAAACGGUGGGCUGGAGGAAGGUUAAAAUAUCAACUAUCAAAGAGAUCCUUAACUGGCUACACCCCUGGACAAGCACUGUCACAACUUCCAUGACCGCUUUUGUGGGGAGCCUCACGGAAACUUCCCUGUCAGGCUGUCACGAGGCCCUUCCUCCCUGCUGCUGACCACGUGCAAAUCUUGGAGAGGUCUUGAUGGGUGAAGCACUGCCUGGUGAGCUCUCCUUUCUGCCUUCCUGCUGGGUGGUUAUUAUAGAGGGCAACUUGUCAUUUCAGAACCCGGGAGCAGGCAAACCUGGCUGACCAUCCCACAUGUACUGCUGCAUAGUGACCCCCAGGGACAGCCUGAUGACAUCUUAGAAAUGGCUCUGAGCCCCCACACUUAACAGUCAGUCCAUUCAUACACCGUGGCUGAGGUGAAGUAUCCCUUGAUCAUUCCAUUCUUUGGAGACU